GCAUUAAGUUGGGCACUCUAGAGAGACUGCCGGUGUCAAACCGGAGGAAGGUGGGGAUGACGUCAAGUCCUCAUGGCCUUUAUGACCAGGGCUACACACGUACUACAAUGGCAUGUACAAAGGGCAGCCACUUGGCGACAAGGAGCGAAUCCCGUAAAACAUGUCUCAGUCCGGAUUGGAGUCUGCAACUCGACUCCAUGAAGUUGGAAUCGCUAGUAAUCGUGGAUCAGCAUGCCACGGUGAAUACGUUCCCGGGCCUUGUACACACCGCCCGUCACACCACGGAAGUUGGUUGUACCAGAAGUAGUUGAGCAAACUUUUCG
rnacentral:rRNA from 1 species